rnacentral:rRNA from 1 species
AUGGGCGAAAGCCUGAUCCAGCCAUGCCGCGUGUGUGAAGAAGGUCUUCGGAUUGUAAAGCACUUUAAGUUGGGAGGAAGGGCAUUAACCUAAUACGUUAGUGUUUUGACGUUACCGACAGAAUAAGCACCGGCUAACUCUGUGCCAGCAGCCGCGGUAAUACAGAGGGUGCAAGCGUUAAUCGGAAUUACUGGGCGUAAAGCGCGCGUAGGUGGUUUGUUAAGUUGGAUGUGAAAGCCCCGGGCUCAACCUGGGAACUGCAUCCAAAACUGGCAAGCUAGAGUACGGUAGAGGGUGGUGGAAUUUCCUGUGUAGCGGUGAAAUGCGUAGAUAUAGGAAGGAACACCAGUGGCGAAGGCGACCACCUGGACUGAUACUGACACUGAGGUGCGAAAGCGUGGGGAGCAAACAGGAUUAGAUACCCUGGUAGUCCACGCCGUAAACGAUGUCAACUAGCCGUUGGAAUCCUUGAGAUUUUAGUGGCGCAGCUAACGCAUUAAGUUGACCGCCUGGGGAGUACGGCCGCAAGGUUAAAACUCAAAUGAAUUGACGGGGGCCCGCACAAGCGGUGGAGCAUGUGG